CUAAUUUGACGGUCUCUUUCUUAGAUCAUUACAAACGUCUAGAAAUCUUUACUUUAUUUAGUUUCAAACAAAUGGUCUGAAACUAAGUACUGGUCUUUGCAAGUCCCUGCGUUGGAAUCACUUGUAAUGGAAGCUGUACCUGAUGCAGCACGAGUCGGUGUAUAUAGGUUUGGACCUUAUGUGCUAGUUGUGUAUUGAAACUCUAAUCAACUAUUUUUAGUCUAGCAAAAAAAAAUAUAAAACUAUUAAAGGAACAUUUACAAAAGUCACCAAAUUACUAAAACUAAAGGAAAAUAUAUUUUUUUUGUGAUUUUUCUUUUCUUUUACAAAUUAGAAGGAAAUUUAAUAUUCUAAAAAUGUGAAUCUUUUUGUUGGUUUUUAAUUUUCUUAAAUAAAACCGAUAAAAGGUGAAACAAAAGCUAAAAUAUCAAGAUUAAAAUUAAAAACUAUUUAAAUAACAAAAGGAGGUGAAAAAUCCAAAUAUGAUAAAAAAAUUAAGUGCUCACAAAGCGUAGCUUUUAUUGUAUUGAAGUUACCAAGUUUGAAACUUAAGGAGCAAUUUAGGAUGGUCUUUUGGCUCUCAAGACUUUGUGGAGAGAGAACAUUUUUGGGGAAGAUUGGAUAUACAUGAAUCUGAAGAUAAUCCCAGUAUUGCACGUUGGCCUUCAGAAUUCGGUUUGAGAAUAGUUGGCUUGUGAACCUAUAAGCCUUUAAACUUGAGGAUGAAUCUCUCCUGAAGGUGCUAUCAGUGUAUUCUUCUACACUAUUUUGCUGAUUGAGAAAUUAGCUAUCGAAAUUUUGGACACAAGUGUUGAAUACUAUGCUUGGCAGAAAUUUCUGGCAAUUCGAAUGUACAUCAAUCUCCAUUGUGUGACCAACAUUAUACCCCAGACGCAAUUGUUCGUAGUUGAUGCUUCUCAAACCCUCAUGUGGAAUAACACAAAGGAGGGAUACAGAACAAUCAUGGUACCCUUGUAAGAAUGUUUGAUUUGGAUGAUGUUAACGUAGCAGAUUUCUUUACCUCACUUAGACAUUGCUCAUUGGAGUAAAUUCAUUGACACUGAGCAAAUUUUCUGGAACAAAGUUGCUAAUACUAGUGCGUCUCUGGUAGCAACCAGUUAGCAGACACAGUACAGUUGUAUUUAAUGUAACAUUUUCAGAUGUUUGAGUAGAAAGCUACACUACAACAAAGUUCGAGUCUCCCCUAUCUACAUCUUCAAUUUUCAUUCACUCUGGUAUGGAGACAGACGUGUCAUGCGGCUACGUUCUUUUGAGUAAUAUAUCUGGAGAUACAGUAUCAAAACCGGAAUGGACCAGUAAUCGAAAAAUUAGAUUUCUGAUCUUUAUUGAAUCAAUUUCAGAUGGUCUAAAUUUAAUCAGUAAUGAGCUCGGCCUUUCCCCAGUUCCCACAACCCAAUUCGAGCAGUUGAGCCGCUCAAGUAAGUAAAAAUAAUGGCACACCACUUAUCCCCUAUGUUACCGUGGACAUCAUCUUGAGCAUACAUUCAAAUAUAUGAUAUUCAACAUAUUUAAUUAGGUUGGUUCUAGUCUUUCAUAACUAAUCAUGUUGCAUUUAUAGCAGAUGGGAAGCCUACACUCUACCAUACAUAUCCUUUUGGCAAUACUAAUAAAAGACUGGUUUUGUCUCAGGUAUUCACAGAAGCACCAAUAUAUGAGAAGAUAGACUGAACAUUUUGAAUCUGCUUGCUUUGGACUUGACACAACAACUUUUUUCUAGUGGAACUUAGCAAAAGUCAACUUGACAAACAAUAGAGAAAUAAGAAUUCAUUCAAACCAAUUUCUCAUCACAAAUCCAGCAAAAACCAUAGUCUGGGAUCAAACCAUAUUAAAAUCGACAUUAUAAUAGAAUGAGAGAGGAAAGAAUGGAACCUGAAGUUGUUUUCAAUUAAUAAAAAUUCCAGCAGUCACACGGACGGAAACAAAGGGAUAGUUGCGACCGGAACUCGACACGACGAUCAUACUUUGGGCAGAAACGCGAACCGAACCACGAACGAUCCUCAACGGCGGCGACCUCGAAGCCUAUCGGGAAAAUUUGAAGCUCAACAGGGUCAGAGCUGCUACGUUUUUGCAGGUUUUAAUGACUGGUUUCCAGCUAUUUUCGAGCUAUUUUGCGGGUGUUUUAGGGUGGUUUUUGGGGCUGUUUACUUGGUUUUAAUGGAGAAAACUGAACCACUUUUUAUGGAGAAAAUGCUUGAUGAUGAAGAUCUGGUUGUUUUAGGUGUUUGUAAGCUUUUUUGAGGUGUUUUGUGGCUAUUUUGGUAGCGAAUAAGGCACAAGGAAGAAGCUGAACAUUGGCCUUUCAUGGCUGCAUUUUCACGAGUUUGGUGCAGAAGUUUUUAUGGCUUCUAUAGUGAGCUCACAACAGAGUAAAGAAAAAAUGGAGGAGAAGAAAAGUUCUUUUUGUUUGUGCGGCUGCUCCUCCCUCCUUUUCCCAGAUCUGGUUUUUUAGAUCUGUAUUUCUCUGCCUUCUUGUUCCCGGGUGCGUGUUUUUAUCAUAGAGAUCAAGGAGGAGCAAAACUCCAUUUGCAGGGGACGGGUGAGUGUCCGUUGUGUGUGCGCAUGACCUGGGGAAUAAAGGAAAAGGACGAAUCUUUUUCUGCCAAAAACUGUUUUGAGUCCGUGGAAAAAUCCAAAAGGGAGAUGUGUGAUCUUUUUGAGAUAUGCAUCUGACG
rnacentral:lncRNA from 1 species